GACGUAGGGCGCGAGCGUUGUCCGGAUUUAUUGGGCGUAAAGAGCUCGUAGGCGGCUUGUCGCGUCGUCCGUGAAAACCUGCGGCUCAACUGCAGGCUGGCGGUCGAUACGGGCAGGCUGGAGUUCGGUAGGGGAGACUGGAAUUCCUGGUGUAGCGGUGAAAUGCGCAGAUAUCAGGAGGAACACCGAUGGCGAAGGCAGGUCUCUGGGCCACUACUGACGCUGAGACGCGAAAGCGUGGGGAGCGAACAGG
rnacentral:rRNA from 1 species